rnacentral:tRNA from 1 species
CGGGGCGUAGUUCAGUGGAAGAACACCUGAUUCUGGAUCAGGAAGUCGCUGGUUCGAAACCAGCCGCCCCGA